rnacentral:rRNA from 1 species
CCUACGGGCGGCAGCAGUGAGGAAUAUUGGUCAAUGGACGCAAGUCUGAACCAGCCAAGUAGCGUGCAGGAUGACGGCACUCCGGGUUGUAAACUGCUUUUAGUUGGGAAUAAAAGGGGGCUCGUGAGCCCAGUAUUGUAUGUACCAUCAGAAAACGGACCGGCUAAUUCCGUGCGAGCAGCCGCGGUAAUACGGAAGGUCCGGGCGUUAUCAGGGUUUAUUGGGUUUAAAGGGAGCGUAGGCCGGCUUUUAAGGCAGCUGUUAAAGUCCGGGGCUCAACCGGUGAAUGGCAGUUGCAACUGGAGGCCUUGAGUGCACACAGGGAUGCCGGAAUUCAUGGUGUAGCUGUGAAAUGCUUAGAUAUCAUGAAGAACUCCGAUCGCGAAGGCAAGUGUCCGGGGUGCAACUGACGCUGAGGCUCGAAAGUGCGGGUAUCAAACAGGAUUAGAUACCCGGGUAGUC